rnacentral:rRNA from 1 species
UACGUAGGGUGCGAGCGUUAAUCGGAAUUACUGGGCGUAAAGCGUGCGCAGGCGGUAAGUUAAGUCUGAUGUGAAAGCCCCGGGCUCAACCUGGGAAUGGCAUUGGAAACUGGCUUGCUAGAGUGUGGCAGAGGGGGGUGGAAUUCCGCGUGUAGCAGUGAAAUGCGUAGAGAUGCGGAGGAACCCCGAUGGCGAAGGCGGCCACCUGGGCUGUACCUGACGCUCAAACACGAAAGCUAGGGGAGCGAACGGG